AUUGAACGCUGGCGGCAGGCUUAACACAUGCAAGUCGAGCGGGGGAAGGUAGCUUGCUACCGGACCUAGCGGCGGACGGGUGAGUAAUGCUUAGGAAUCUGCCUAUUAGUGGGGGACAACAUCUCGAAAGGGAUGCUAAUACCGUAUACGUCCUACGGGAGAAAGCAGGGGAUCUUCGGACCUUGCGCUAAUAGAUGAGCCUAAGUCGGAUUAGCUAGUUGGUGGGGGAAAGGCCUACCAAGGCGAAGAUCUGUAGCGGGUCUGAGAGGAUGAUCCGCCACACUGGGACUGAGACACGGCCCAGAGUCCUACGGGAGGCAGCAGUGGGGAAUAUUGGACAAUGGGGGGAACCCUGAUCCAGCCAUGCCGCGUGUGUGAAGAAGGCCUUAUGGUUGUAAAGCACUUUAAGCGAGGAGGAGGCUACUCUAGUUAAUACCUAGGGAUAGUGGACGUUACUCGCAGAAUAAGCACCGGCUAACUCUGUGCCAGCCGCCGCCGUAA
rnacentral:rRNA from 1 species